rnacentral:misc_RNA from 1 species
GUUUCAAUCUCAGAUUGUUUCUCUGUUGCAGUAUUGUCAGUGUCAGUCUGGGAGCCACUGGAGGAUAGUGGGACCUCUGGUUCUGACCCCGAAGUAGAAGAAGCUGUAGUUGGUACAAUAAUACUCUUUACUUCGUCGGUCAGCCGCACCACACGUGACUUGCAAAUAGAUAUUGCCUUCUGGCAAUAUGAAAUGGCUUCCUGCGGCUGGGAACCAAACUCCAAACACAAGCAUACACGAAAAUUUAGUUCAGCAAGCUGUCG